GAUGAACGCUGGCGGCGUGCCUUAUACAUGCAAGUCGAGUGGGUUUAGACCCACGGCAAACGGGUGAGUAACACGUAGGUACUUUCCUUGUCACAGGAAUAACCCUCCGAAAGUAGGGCUAAUACCUGAUGUGAUCGCAAGAUUAAAGGGUAUCCGCAAGGAUUACCGGACAAGAAGAGGGCUGCGGCCUAUCAGCUAGUUGGCGGGGUAAAUGCCCACCAAGGCUAUGACGGGUAACUGGUCUUAUGAGGAUGAUCAGUCACAUGGGCACUGAGACACGGACCCAACUCCUACGGGAGGCAGCAGUAGGGAAUUUUGCGCAAUGGGCGAAAGACUGACGCAGCGACGCCGCGUGCGAGAUGAAGGCCUUCGGGUCGUAAACCGCUUUUAUAAGGGACGAACUUUGACGGUACCUUAUGAAUAAGAGGUUGCUAACUCUGUG
rnacentral:rRNA from 1 species